AAGCCAUGCAUGUCUAAGUACAGGCUUUGGUACAGCGAAACCGCGAAUGGCUCAUUAAAUCAGCUAUAAUUUAUUAGAUUGUUCUUUACUUGGAUAACUGUGGGAAUUCUAGAGCUAAUACAUGCACAAAAGCUCCGACCUUCGGGAAGGAGUGCAGUUAUUAGACCAAAACCAGCCGAGCUUCGGCUCGAACUGUUUGGUGACUCUGGAUAACGAUGAGCGGAUCGCAUGGCCUUGAGCCGGCGACGUAUCUUUCAAGUGUCUGACCUAUCAACUGACGAUGGUACGCGAUAUGCCUACCAUGGUGAUAACGGGUAACGGAGAAUAAGGGUUCGACUCCGGAGAGGGAGCCUGAGAAAUGGCUACCACAUCCAAGGAUGGCAGCAGGCGCGCAAAUUACCCACUCUCAGUACGAGGAGGUAGUGACGAAAAAUAACAAUGCGGGACUCAUCAGAGGCCUCGCAAUUGGAAUGAGCGCACUUUAAAUCGUUCGACGAGGAUCUAUUGGAGGGCAAGUCUGGUGCCAGCAGCCGCGGUAAUUCCAGCUCCAAUAGCGUAUAUUAAAGUUGUUGCAGUUAAAAAGCUCGUAGUUGGAUCUGGGGUUCGGGUCGGCGGUUUGCCGCUUCGGCGGCUACUGCCGUGCUCGACUCUUACUAGCCGGUGCGUCUUGCGGUGCUCUUCAUCGAGUGCCGUAGGAGCCUGGCAUGUUUACUUUGAAAAAAUUAGAGUGCUCAAAGCAGGCGAUUCCGCCUGAAUAGUGUUGCGUGGAAUAAUGGAAUAGGACCUCGGUUCUAUUUUGUUGGUUUUCGGAACUUGAGGUAAUGAUUAAGAGGGACGGUCGGGGGCAUUCGUAUUUCGGUGUUAGAGGUGAAAUUCUUGGAUCGCUGAAAGACGGACAAAUGCGAAAGCAUCUGCCAAGAACGUCUCCAUUAAUCAAGAACGAAAGUCAGAGGUUCGAAGACGAUCAGACACCGUCCUAGUUCUGACCAUAAACGAUGCCAACUAGCGAUCCGCAGUGGUUGCUAUAAACGGACUCUGCGAGCAGCUUCCGGGAAACCAAAGUGUUUGGGUUCCGGGGGAAGUAUGGUUGCAAAGCUGAAACUUAAAGGAAUUGACGGAAGGGCACCACCAGGAGUGGAGCCUGCGGCUUAAUUUGACCCAACACGGGGAAACUCACCCGGUCCGGACACUGUAAGGAUUGACGGAUCGAGAGCUCUUUCUUGAUUCGGUGGAUGGUGGUGCAUGGCCGUUCUUAGUUGGUGGAGUGAUUUGUCUGGUUAAUUCC
rnacentral:rRNA from 1 species